rnacentral:rRNA from 1 species
UACGUAGGGUGCAAGCGUUGUCCGGAUUUAUUGGGCGUAAAGAGCUCGUAGGCGGUCCGGUAAGUCCGCUCUGAAAGCCCGGGGCUCAACCCCGGGAGGCGGGCGGAUACUGUCGGGCUAGAGUCCGGAAGAGGCGAGUGGAAUUCCUGGUGUAGCGGUGAAAUGCGCAGAUAUCAGGAGGAACACCGAUGGCGAAGGCGGCAUCCUGGACCGAUACUGACGCUGAGGAGCGAAAGCCAGGGGAGCAAACGGG